rnacentral:rRNA from 1 species
GUGAACGCUGGCGGUAGGCCUAACACCUUCCCGUCGAACGGCAGCACAGUAAGAGCUUGCUCUUACGGGUGGCGAGUGGCGGACGGGUGAGGAAUACAUCGGAAUCUACUUUUUCGUGGGGGAUAACGUAGGGAAACUUACGCUAAUACCGCAUACGACCUACGGGUGAAAGCAGGGGAUCUUCGGACCUUGCGCGAUUGAAUGAGCCGAUGUCGGAUUAGCUAGUUGGCGGGGUAAAGGCCCACCAAGGCGACGAUCCGUAGCUGGUCUGAGAGGAUGAUAAGCCACACUGGAACUGAGACACGGUCCAGACUCCUACGGGAGGCAGCAGUGGGGAAUAUUGGACAAUGGGCGCAAGCCUGAUCCAGCCAUACCGCGUGGGUGAAGAAGGCCUUCGGGUUGUAAAGCCCUUUUGUUGGGAAAGAAAAGCAGCAGGUUAAUACCCCGCUGUUCUGACGGUACCCAAAGAAUAAGCACCGGCUAACUUCGUG